CCUACGGGGUGCAGCAGUAGGGAAUCUUUCACAAUGGGCGAAAGCCUGAUGGAGCAACGCCGCGUGCAGGAUGAAGGCCUUCGGGUUGUAAACUGCUUUUAUAAGCGAGAAAUAUGAUGGUAACUUAUGAAUAAGGAUCGGCUAACUACGUGCCAGCAGCCGCGGUCAUACGUAGGAUCCGAGCAUUAUCCGGAGUGACUGGGUGUAAAGAGUUGCGUAGGUGGCAUAAUAAGUAGCUAGUGAAAUCUGGUGGCUCAACCAUUCAGACUAUUAGCUAAACUGUUAAGCUCGAGACCGUUAGGGGUAACUGGAAUGUCUAGUGUAGGAGUGAAAUCCGUAGAUAUUAGAAGGAACACCAAUAGUGUAGGCAGGUUGCUGGGACGGUUCUGACACUAAGGCACGAAAGCGUAGGGAGCAAACGGGAUUAGAUACCCGAGUAGUC
rnacentral:rRNA from 1 species